rnacentral:rRNA from 1 species
UGGACAAUGGGGGCAACCCUGAUCCAGCCAUGCCGCGUGUGUGAAGAAGGCCUUCGGGUUGUAAAGCACUUUCGGACGGAACGAAAUCGCGCGGGUUAAUAUCUCGCGUGGAUGACGGUACCGUAAGAAGAAGCACCGGCUAACUACGUGCCAGCAGCCGCGGUAAUACGUAGGGUGCGAGCGUUAAUCGGAAUUACUGGGCGUAAAGUGUGCGCAGGCGGCCGCGCAAGUCGAGUGUGAAAGCCCCGAGCUUAACUUGGGAAUUGCGCUCGAAACUACGUGGCUGGAGUGUGGCAGAGGAAGGUGGAAUUCCAGGUGUAGCGGUGAAAUGCGUAGAGAUCUGGAGGAACACCGAUGGCGAAGGCAGCCUUCUGGGCCAACACUGACGCUCAUGCACGAAAGCGUGGGGAGCAAACAGGAUUAGAUACCCUGGUAGUCCACGCCCUAAACGAUGAUGACUAGUUGUUGGAGGAGUUAAAUCCUUUAGUAA